UACGUAGGGUCCGAGCGUUGUCCGGAAUCAUUGGGCGUAAAGCGCGCGUAGGCGGCCCCGUAAGUCCGCUGUGAAAGUCAAAGGCUCAACCUUUGAAAGCCGGUGGAUACUGUGGGGCUAGAGUCCGGAAGAGGCGAGUGGAAUUCCUGGUGUAGCGGUGGAAUGCGCAGAUAUCAGGAGGAACACCAAUAGCGAAGGCAGCUCGCUGGGACGGUACUGACGCUAAGGCGCGAAAGCGUGGGGAGCGAACAGG
rnacentral:rRNA from 1 species